rnacentral:rRNA from 1 species
AACUAACGCUGGCGGCGUGCCUAACACAUGCAAGUCGUACGAGAAAGUUGGCUUCGGCCGAUGAGUAAAGUGGCGCACGGGUGAGUAAUGCGUGGAUAAUCUGCCCUUUAGUUGGGAAUAACGUACCGAAAGGUGCGCUAAUACCUGAUAAUACUGCAUAACUACUGUUGUGUAGUCAAAGAAGGCCUCUGUUUACAAGCUUUUGCUGAAGGAUGAGUCCGCGUACCAUUAGCUGGUUGGUGGGGUAAUGGCCUACCAAGGCUACGAUGGUUAGCUGGUCUGAGAGGAUGAUCAGCCACACUGGAACUGAGACACGGUCCAGACUCCUACGGGAGCAGCAGUGAGGAAUAUUGCGCAAUGGGGCAACCCUGACGCAGCAACGCCGCGUGAGUGAGGAAGGUUUUCGGACCGUAAAGCUCUGUCGAGCGGGAAGAAAUGUAUCAUGGCUAAUAUCCAUGAUACUUGACGGUACCGCUAAAGG